rnacentral:rRNA from 1 species
CCUACGGGAGGCAGCAGUGGGGAAUAUUGGGCAAUGGGCGCAAGCCUGACCCAGCAACGCCGCGUGAAGGAAGAAGGCUGUCGGGGUGUAAACUUCUUUUCUCAGGGACGAAGAAAGUGACGGUACCGGAGGAAUAAGCCACGGCUAACUACGGGCCAGCAGCCGCGGUAAUACGUAGGGGGCAAGCGUUCUCCGGAUUUAUUGGGUGUAAAGGGCGUGUAGGCGGGAGCGCAAGUCAGAUGUGAAAACUCCGGGCUCAACCCGGAGCCUGCAUUUGAAACGGUGUUUCUUGAGUGCUGGGGCGUCAAUCGGACUUCCGUGUGUAGCGGUGAACUGCGUAGAUCUCCGGAGGAACACCAGUGGCGAAGGCGGCUUGCUGGACAGUACCUGCCGCUGCGGCGCGACAGCGUGGGGCGCAAACCGGAUUAGCUACCCGAGUCGUC